UAACAUUCUGAAAAGAAUGCUAAUACCGCAUGACAUAUCGGAACCACAUGGUUUUGAUAUCAAAGAUUUUAUCGCUUGAAGAUGGACUCGCGUCCGAUUAGUUAGUUGGUGAGGUAACGGCUCACCAAGACCGCGAUCGGUAGCCGGACUGAGAGGUUGAACGGCCACAUUGGGACUGAGACACGGCCCAGACUCCUACGGGAGGCAGCAGUGGGGGAUAUUGCGCAAUGGGGGCAACCCUGACGCAGCAACGCCGCGUGAAGGAUGAAGGUUUUCGGAUUGUAAACUUCUUUUAUUAAGGACGAAAAAUGACGGUACUUAAUGAAUAAGCUCCGGCUAACUACGUGCCAGCAGCCGCGGUAAUACGUAGGGAGCAAGCGUUGUCCGGAUUUACUGGGUGUAAAGGGUGCGUAGGCGGCUUUGCAAGUCAGAUGUGAAAUCUAUGGGCUCAACCCAUAAACUGCAUUUGAAACUGUAGAGCUUGAGUGAAGUAGAGGCAGGCGGAAUUCCCCGUGUAGCGGUGAAAUGCGUAGAGAUGGGGAGGAACACCAGUGGCGAAGGCGGCCUGCUGGGCUUUAACUGACGCUGAGGCACGAAAGCGUGGGUAGCAAAGAGGAUUAGAUACCCUGGUAGUCCACGCUG
rnacentral:rRNA from 1 species